rnacentral:rRNA from 1 species
GACGAACGCUGGCGGCGUGCUUAACACAUGCAAGUCGAACGGAAAGGCCCUGCUUUUGUGGGGUGCUCGAGUGGCGAACGGGUGAGUAACACGUGAGUAACCUGCCCUUGACUUUGGGAUAACUUCAGGAAACUGGGGCUAAUACCGGAUAGGAGCUCCUGCUGCAUGGUGGGGGUUGGAAAGUUUCGGCGGUUGGGGAUGGACUCGCGGCUUAUCAGCUUGUUGGUGGGGUAGUGGCUUACCAAGGCUUUGACGGGUAGCCGGCCUGAGAGGGUGACCGGCCACAUGGGGGGUGGGAGACGGCCGGGCCGGCUGCGGGAGGCAGCAGGGGGGAGUGUGGCACAACGGCCGGAAGCAUGUUGCAGCAAUGCGGCGGGCGGGAAGAGGGCGUUAGGGUAGUAACAAGAUUAGGCCUGGGAAGAUGCGGGAGAGAGGGUAAGGGGUAAGGAAGAACCGGCAAACUAGGUG